rnacentral:rRNA from 1 species
UCCUACGGGGGGCAGCAGUGGGGAAUAUUGCACAAUGGGGGAAACCCUGAUGCAGCGACGCCGCGUGGGUGAAGAAGUAUUUCGGUAUGUAAAGCCCUAUCAGCAGGGAAGAAGAAUGACGGUACCUGACUAAGAAGCACCGGCUAAAUACGUGCCAGCAGCCGCGGUAAUACGUAUGGUGCAAGCGUUAUCCGGAUUUACUGGGUGUAAAGGGAGCGCAGGCGGCACGCUAAGCCUGAUGUGAAAACCCGCGGCCCAACCGCGGGAGUGCAUUGGGAACUGGCGAGCUAGAGUACCGGAGGGGG